UACAGAGGGGGCAAGCGUUGUUCGGAAUUACUGGGCGUAAAGGGCGCGUAGGCGGCCUUCUAAGUCGAACGUGAAAUCCCCGGGCUCAACCCGGGAACUGCGUCCGAUACUGGAAGGCUUGAAUCCGGGAGAGGGAUGCGGAAUUCCAGGUGUAGCGGUGAAAUGCGUAGAUAUCUGGAGGAACACCGGUGGCGAAGGCGGCAUCCUGGACCGGCAUUGACGCUGAGGCGCGAAAGCCAGGGGGGCAAACGGG
rnacentral:rRNA from 1 species